UGCAGCUGUCAAGUGGUGUGGUUGAUGAGAAAUGAAGAGGUGUUGUUUUGUUGUUUUUCUUCUGUACUGAUGCUGGGCAUCAUAUUUGAAAAACUGGAAAGACUGUAGGAUGUUAACAAUGUCCAAAGAGACUUCAUCCUCUCCUGUCCUAGG